AGCCCUGGAUCACAGCAAGUGCCUGAGCCCCUGGACUACUGUCCCUCUCUGAAACCCACGUCUGGCAGAAGGCUCUAGAAGUGAACUGAAACGUUGCGGUUGCAGUAAUGCUGUGCUCAAAACUGCUCGUGAUUAAAGAGAGGCAGGAAAUCCUGGUGUCAGUUUGGUACGUCAGCAUUUGAAGUCCUGCUGUCUGUCAUCUCAGCUUCACUGAGUUCUGGAACAGAGCUCAGAAACGCAGCUCACAAAUCUUACUGCCUUUCAGGGUACCUGGGGCAUCUGUGGCAAGGUGUGAUCUCUGGGAAUUCUGUGGAGCAUUUCAGAUGUGCAUGUCUGUUUAUUAACAGCAGCCAGUUAAUGUAAUUUAUGUUACAUUUAGCUUUGUCAUUUUUGUACUUAUUUGAUGGACAGAAGACCAAUGCUUCUGUUUUUUUUUCUUGCAGUCUAUCAGACAGCUCUCAAGCUGCUACUGCAAAUUUUAAUCCUUCCUGUUCUCCAUUCCUUUGCCGUUUCUUUGACCUGUUUUUCCGUUUAGAAAGUUCUCCUUGCCCUGGAUGCUGUGCAGUGCUAUCAGUUUUCUCAGGAGAUGUGCAGAAUCAUUGCUGCAGGUCCCAGAACAAUCCUGCAGUGUGCAUCUGACGGCUCAGUGGAAAUGCCAACCUCACACUGGUGUUCCAUGGGAUUCCUUCAAUUCUGUGUGCCUGACAGCUCCUGUUCCCAGUGCUACAUGUGCACAUGUAGGAAAGUUAAAAAGCAGAAGCGAAAUGAAAAAUUGCCAUUCAGAAAAUACCUCUCACCAAGAGCCAAGCCUCAGCUCAGUGGAAUAGCCCCUCUGUUUCCCUUACAUCCAGUGAUUGAAAUGGUUACUGGCAGCGCUCUGCAGAUGCUGAACUGUUUUGCUGGAGAACAAAUGCAUAUUCAGCAAUGUUGAAACCACGUUGUCAGUUGGCUGCCAAAAUCCACGAGCACGCCGUGGUUUCAAGGAUUGCAGCAGGCACUUUGUCAGCGUACUGCUGUUACAACGAACCGAUGGGCUCCAGGCAAUGGCAGGUGCCGAUGUUCUGCUCCCUCUCCCUCGCAUCACCCCAUCCUGUUGCUCAGCAGCUCUCCCCACUCUUCGUUCAAAGCCUCCCUUGUGAAGCUGCCAUCCUCCUGACGAAAACAUCCUCGCCUCCCUUAGAGAGAUGGGUGCCAUCCCUCCCACGCAGACACCGACCCGCAAAUCGGUGCUGCAGGCACAGAACCCGAGCCCCUGCCACCAGCACCAGUCCUGCAGCCGAGGACGGGCAGCACCACCAGUGCCCUCCUGUCACGCCUGUCCCGCAGCACCACCUGGGCCCCCGCACCCUGGACCACCGGCCCCACAGCUCUGCACUCACUUCUGAUGCAGCCUUACCCGUGCCCACCUUUCUUCCUGCUGGCCUCGCACGGUGAGCCACACGAGCUGUCGGGUGGACCGCAUCCAUCGCGUGGAGGCACCGCAGCCUCCUUCCAGCACUGAGGGCGCUGGAGCUGCGAGUCCUUCUGUGGGGCAGGAGCGUCCUCCGCUGCCAGGGUUUUCCAGCUGCAGUCCGUCACCAGACGUGAGGCUGUGCUGUGGGGCUGCAGCGCUGGGCCUGCAGCUCAGCAAAGCCCCUGAGCAUGGCGGAGACGAGCGGGCGGCCUGCGAUGCCUUCACAGCAUUAUGCACUGUGGGAAUGAAAUGUUGUUCCUGCGCUGGAUGUUGAGAUGGACAACUGACCUAAAGAAACAGAACACGACAUGUUUGCAUUCCGUAACUUGUCUGUAGGAGUAGCUGAUGUGACAAGGAGAGAUAUCAUCUGCAUAUCAGGAACACACUUUAGACACACAGUUACUGCGCUGUGCGACACAUUCUUCCUCACACAUUUGCAUAGACCUUAAACGUUUUAAACAAUGUAGGUACAGUAUUCUGAACUAGAAAACGUGCUGUAAGACUGGUGAGCCAGCGAACGUGAAAUGCGUUUAACAAGCUUUCAAGGAGCCAGGGCUUUUACACAAAGCACAGCUGUCCCGCUCUGUGGCAAUGUCAGGAUGCCGUAGGCAGAUCCAGGAUGCUCCCCUCUAUCCUCCCUCCAAGCUUAUCUCGAUCCAAGGACAGACGGAUGACCAGAACGGUGACCCAGUGUAAAGGGCGCAAAUGCCAAGGGGGUAAUUAAACAAUGAAGAGGUCAGGUUUACGUUUAUGCUGUAAAGCAGGCAUCCGAAAGUGAUGACCAGAUGUUUGUUAAGAAAGCAACGGUCAGAAGGCCAUUAACCAACGGAGAUGUUUGUGUCUGCAUGGCAAGGAUCUGUGUGCACUUGCUAUUUGUGGGAUCAGUGAAGUGUCGCAACAGAGUGCGAACCUGCAGCACUCAGCAGUGAGGAGCCAGGGCAGAAAGGGAUCAGCGUCGGGCAGCAGGGCAUAAAAGGUGCAGCACUGCUUUCUGUGCACGCUCCUGCUUGCAGGAGGCCCAACACUGCCAUUGCAAAUAAAACUUGCUUUAUCAGA